rnacentral:lncRNA from 1 species
GGGAGCUGUGACACUCGGGGGCCUUCCAGCCCCUGGGAGAGACUGCCCCUGCCGGGACUGGCCAGUUCCUAAAGACGGUGAACGGCUGUCUUGGGGGCUGGCCUUUCUGGUGCUAGACAACUUCUUCUUUCUCGUUUUCAAAUGUUUGGGAGCCUUUGUGGCCUCCGUGGCUUCAAAUGAACAUUUCCUAGCAGGCAAAUCCAAGGGGAUUGGGGCGGCUUUCUUGAGACACUACUAGCUCCUUUUCCAAGGCUCCUAAGCCAAGCCAGUCUUUUCCCUGCCCUGAAUUGUCCCAGGGCCAGAUCCCAGGCCACCAGACACCGCCCCUCUCGCUCCCCCCUCCAGGACGAUUCCGAUUGGACGACUUUCAACUGUUUGCUCCGCCCCACCACGGAGCCCUUCCUGGAAACCCCAAUAAAGGCUCUGUCUCAGGCCCUCCCCUCUCACUCUUCUCCGCCAACCCUCCCCAGGCCUGCGGCUUCUCCUGGGUCCCUGCCUGCUGCGUGGCGCCUCUCCCGACCGAAGGAGCGGUGGCUGCGCUGCGAGCCCCCGCUGGCGAAAAGUCCUCCGACCCGGACUGAUCUGGGCCUGUUCCUUUGAAGGCGGAAGUUUGGAAUGCCAACACCCAAGCGAGCCUUCUGGCAAAACCAAGUAAUCAACAGGCACGGGGACUGAACAAUUGAAACAGCUCCUUAGACUGUGCUGUUCCUCUGAGGGGUGAAAGACAUCCGACCGACCAGGCAAAGAGCUCUGAGCUUUCGAGAGGCACCCCGCCCCCAAAGACUGCCCCGGUCAUCUAGGGUUCCAGGUCCCCGCCCUCAGCCCUGUCCUCACCUCCUUGGGCUCUGCGACGUCCAAGGACAUCCUGCCCUCUACGCCUUCCACCUGGCACCCCCACGCCCACCUGCACUUCCUUCCCUCCUUCCAGGCUGCUCCGCAGCCUCUACUUGGUGCGUCCUUCUCAGGCCCUUGCACCUAAUUCCCUGGG